rnacentral:rRNA from 1 species
UACGGAGGGGCUAGCGUUGUUCGGAAUUACUGGGCGUAAAGCGCACGUAGGCGGACUGUUAAGUCGGGGGUGAAAUCCUGGGGCUCAACCUCAGAAUUGCCUCCGAUACUGGCAGUCUCGAGUGCGGGAGAGGUGAGUGGAAUUCCCAGUGUAGAGGUGAAAUCGUAGAUAUUGGGAAGAACACCAGUGGCGAAGGCGGCUCACUGGCCCGUAACGUGACGCUGAGGUGCGAAAGCGUGGGGAGCAAACAGGG